rnacentral:rRNA from 1 species
UACGUAGGGGGCAAGCGUUGUCCGGAAUCAUUGGGCGUAAAGCGCGUGUAGGCGGUCCGGUAAGUCCGCUGUGAAAGUCGGGGGCUCAACCCUCGAAUGCCGGUGGAUACUGUCGGGCUAGAGUCCGGAAGAGGCGAGUGGAAUCCUGGUGUAGCGGUGGAAUGCGCAGGAUAUCAGGAGGAACACCGAUGGCGAAGGCAGCUCGCUGGGCGGUGACUGACGCUGAGGCGCGAAAGCGUGGGAGCGAACAGG